CAAGAAAAGCGCCAAAACUGCUGCGAAGUAGUGACGGAAAGCCACGGAUCUCCAGAAGAUAGCCGGGUUGCCUUG
rnacentral:ncRNA from 1 species